AUGGCCCGUCCACGGCGGCCGGUACCCGGCGGCCUCGCCGCCCUCCUCCUCCUCUCCGCGGCGGUCGCCGUCGCGGUGGCCAAGACCGACCGGGCCGACGUGGAGGCGCUGAACGUGCUCUUCACCAGCAUGCACAAGCCGUCCAAGCUGGACAACUGGAAGGCAGACGGCGGCGACCCCUGCGACGACGACGACGGCUGGCGAGGGGUCGACUGCAGCGACAACUCCGUCACCAAAAUUGACCUCUCGGGGCUCGACCUCACCGGCAACCUCGGCUUCCAGCUGUCCAGCCUCAAAUCGGUAACCAAAUUCGAUGUGAGCGACAACAAGCUCAGCGGCGAGAUCCCCUACGCGCUCCCGCCCAACCUGGUUCAGCUAAAUCUGCAAGGGAAUGCGUUUACCGGCGGGAUUCCUUGGUCGGUAUCUCAGAUGUCUGAUCUGGAGACACUAAACGUCGGUAGCAAUCACUUAAACGGGCAGUUGACCGACAUGUUCUCGCAACUUCCAAAGCUCUCGAAAAUGGAUCUCUCUGACAACCGCUUGUCCGGUAACCUGCCCCAGAGUUUCCAGCACCUCACAGGCCUCAAGACGCUGAACUUGGAGAGCAACCAGUUCACUGGCGAUGUUGACGUUCUGGCCAAACUUUCUUCUCUGGAGGAUCUGAAUCUGCAGAACAACAAGUUCACCGGGUGGAUUCCAAGUAAACUGAAAAAAAUCGACAGCCUCAAGACUGGUGGGAACCAGUGGUCAUCCGGGUCGGCUCCUCCCGGCAUGGAGAAGGGGUCUUCGGCGGGAGCCUCAUCGAGCGAAGGGAGUGACGUCGGGAUCAACGGUUUCUUUAUCGGAGCAAUGGUCAUAGCUGUGCUCCUUGCAGCCGUUAUUCUCUUGUCAGUGUUGCAGAUGAAGCGAUCCUCUCCCGUCUCGUCUCAUUACUACAUGGACGAGUCAGGCCAUUCUUCAAUAGUCAGCAUAAAGCCGCUGGAGAAAUCGACGUCGAUUGACAGUGUAACGCUGCCUUCUGUGCCUUACAAGACGAUGAACGACAACAAGUAUCAGAUAAUGCUAAACAAUUCUAGGCGGAUCUUGGAACCGAUCAGCCUGGUGACCUACUCGUCGUCGGAGCUACAAGCGGCCACUGGCAACUGGCACAGUAGCAGGAUAAUAGGCCAGGGAAUGGUCGGUCGGGUUUACAAGGCGAAAUAUGCCAACGGACAGGUGCUGGCUAUCAAGAAGUUUGAUCCGCUGAGCUUCUCGGAGAGAAGCGACUUUGUGGAGCUUGUCACCUGCAUUUCCAGGCUGCGCCAACCGAGCAUCUGUGAGAUUGUGGGCUACUGCGCGGAGCCCGGGCACUACAUCAUGGUGUAUGAGCACCAUAUGAACGGGUCCCUCUAUCAGUUCCUCCAUUUGUCAGACGAUUACAGCAAGCCUCUCACCUGGGAUACCCGCGUUCGGAUCGCUCUCGGUACAGCUCAGGCUCUGGAGUACCUGCAUGAGAUCUGCUCGCCUCCGAUCAUCCACAAGAACAUAAAGUCAUCCAAUGUCUUGCUCGACGCCGACCUCAACCCUCACCUCUCCGACUGCGGCCUCGCAUUCUUCUACGAGGAUCCAAACGAGAGCUUGGGGCCAGGGUACAGUCCCCCGGAGUGCACAAGGCCAUCGGGUUACACGAUGAAGAGCGACGUGUACAGCUAUGGUGUGGUCAUGCUCGAGCUAUUAACCGGCCGGAAGUCCUACGAUAGCUCAAAGCCGACAAAUGAGCAGUCCUUGGUCAAGUUUGUGACGCCGCAGCUCCACGACAGCGACGCCCUGGGAUCGGUGGCAGACCCGGCCCUGCGCGGCCUGUACCCGCCCAAGGCGCUGUCCCGCUUCGCCGACGUGAUCGCCCGCUGCGUCCAGUCUGACCCGCAGCUCCGGCCGCGCAUGUCGGAGGUGUCGCAGGAGCUCACCGGCUGCGUCCAGCGCAGCGCCAGCAGCAGGAGGGGCGGCUUCCUCUACAGCGCGUCGAUGCGCAGCGACGUCUCGGAUUGGUGA
rnacentral:rRNA from 1 species